CCGGGGAAGUGUUCGGAUUGCGGCGACGUGGGCGGUCCGCUGCCCGCGACGUUGUGAGAAGUCCACUGAACCUUAUCAUUUAGAGGAAGGAGAAGUCGUAACAAGGUUUCCGUAGGUGAACCUGCGGAAGGAUCAUUGUC
rnacentral:rRNA from 1 species